rnacentral:rRNA from 1 species
GAGCUGAUCUCAGGCACAAUAAUUUGCCCAAAACAUCUAGCCAUGCCACACCCACAAGGGUACUCAGCAGUGAUUAACAUUAAAAAUAAACGUCAGUUUGAUUUAGUUAAUGAGAAUAGAGCCGGCUAAUCUGGUGCCAGCCGCCGCGGUUACACCAAGUGGCUCAAAUUGAUUAUACAACGGCGUAAAGCGUGAUUAAAGAAAGCACUUACUGGGGUUAAACUUAAACUAAGCCGUAAAAAACUUGUUCUUAAGAAACUCCACCCGAAAGACACCCCAAUAAACCAACUUGAAUUCACGACAGCUAGUACACAAACUGGGAUUAGAUACCCCACUAUGACUAGCCGUAAACACUAAUUUACCCCACCCACCGCCAGGGAACUACGAGCAAAGCUUAAAACCCAAAGGACUUGACGGUACCCCAUAUCCCCCUAGAGGAGCCUGUCCUAUAAUCGAUAACCCACGUUUAACCCAACCAUUUUUAGUUUUUCAGCCUGUAUACUUCCGUCGCCAGCUCACCGCAUGAGCGAAACUAAGUGAGCCUAAAGACCCCCACCAAUACGUCAGGUCAAAGUGCAGCAAAUAAAGUGGCAAGAGAUGGGCUACACUUUCUACUCUAGAGAAAACGAAAGAUUAAAUGAAACUUCAAUCAGAAGGUGGAUUUAGCAGUAAGGGGAAAUUAAAGUACUCCCCUUAACCCGGCACUGGGGUGUGUACACACCGCCCGUCACCCUCUUCAAAAACAACCUAAGUUAAUAACAACCUCACUUUUAAUAGAAGCGGCAAGUC